rnacentral:lncRNA from 1 species
CCCCUUUAACCUCAACUUUUUUAUUUGAAUUUUUAUAUUUAUUUCAAUAUUAAUUUUAAUAAAGUAAAUAAAUUUCUCUGUCUAUUAUCCCCUUUAUUAAUUUUUCUAUUAUAUCCGUGAUAAAGUUAAAACCAUAAAGUCCUAAUAUGAAAAUUUGGUAAACCACAGCAUAGAUGGGGUAUUUGAAGUUUUUUAUAUGUAAUUUAAUGAAGAGUUAAUGGAGGUGCUAAUGAAAAGAGAAAAACGAAACCAUAGGGUAAUAAAGUGGUGCUUUUUAAACUACACGAUACUAAAAUGAAAAAGUGCAAAAUCACAGGGUUGAUAUUUGAAGUCUAUCCUAAAUUAUAUAAAAUUAUUAUUAUAAAGAAAAAGGGCAAUUUCACCAGUAACCUUAUCAAACUUGUAAAUUUUGUGAAUACUCCUCUAAACUUUAAAAUAUCAUAAAUACCUCUUCAAACACAUAAAAAUUAUCAUAACUAUCCUCGCCGUUAAGGACACGCCAUUCUACCCGGAUUAAAAUAUAGUUAAAUAAGAGUUAAAAUAUAGAAUGACAAAUUUCCCCCAAAAGUUAGAAUAAUAUAUUUGGCGGGAAAUAACUAAUUAAUGCUAAGGUAAAAAAUUUUGGAAACUAAUAAACAAAAUACACAGUAAAAUUUUCGCUCCCAACUUCGGAAUUCUUCAGCUUAUAUAUUUUUUCAACAUCUGUAUUUAGUACUUACGGUUAACCGUGCUGUGUUGAAAAUUCUCUACCCAAGCAAAUUUGUUCCACCAUCUUUAUUCCUCAACCUAUAAAAAAUAUACGACAUUACAUAUUUGAAAUAUAAUUAAUAAUUAUAUGCACACUAAAGUAUCACAUUAACUUACCAUCUAAUUUGGGCAUUGAUAGAAUCAUCGACCUUUACUAUGUGGUUGUUUUAACAUCUAAAUUCGACACGGUAUACUACAAUCACAAUUAGGAAUUAGGUUAUGAGGUGUUGUAAAAUAUCGACUACUUAGUGGGUUUGUUGCUAUGCGGAGAGAAUAAGAGAGCAUUUAUGAAUAGUAUUAAUAUACCAAUUACGGCUUCCUAUACUUAAAUAAACUGUACAGGAGUAAAAAUGACAUUUAUAAUUUAUUCUGUUAGAUUUUGACGGUCGGCCGGUCAACAGUAGAGACAUUCAUAAGUAUUUUUGAAUUUAGAAAGGCAUUCGAGAUAUUUUCAACUAUUGAUGAAAUUUCAGCCUCUACCUAUGAAAUUUUCCCCAAAAAAGUAUAAAUUUAGGGCCCUAUCUCACAGUGCUCUAAACAUUAUUAUUUUUAUUUAUUUUUAUUUAUUUUUGGGUGUCGGAGUCUCGGCGCUACUCGGACCCAAACAUGGCGUCAUAUUCUCCGUAAGGCGACACGUGUCCGAUUCCCUCCGCCCGAAACCAACCAAACCCUUUCUCUUUUGUAGGAUGAUCCUAACUCUCACUUUCACAAUUCUCUCUGUUUGAUUUUUCAAUCAUAUCAUAUCUCUCUUUCUCUCUCUCUUCUCUCUCUCUUUCCGGCGAUCGGAGGCGGCGGCGGAGGAGGAGGAGAAUCUCCGGUGGGCGGCGGAGGCGGCGAGGAGCGGUGGUGGCGAUGUAGCAGUGGGAGAGGAGUGGGAGCUGUUGGAGGGGGGUGAUCUCGUCUCCACCUGUGAGGAGGGCGGGCUCGGCGGAUCUAGGGUUCCGGUGAGCGGCGGCGGCGGCGGAGUAGGGUCUUGUGGGCGAGGCGCGAUGUACGUGGCCCCUCCCCCCCGGGGCUCCGAUCCGGCCUCGGAGGGCGCCGCGGAUGGCGAGGCGCCUAGGGUUUACGAGGUCUGGAAGGGUAGCAAUGUAAGCCCCUCUCUCUCUCUCUCUCUCUCUCUCUCUCUCUCGUUGUUUAGAUCUGUAUACAGUUCCUACAUCUAGAUGCGGGAAUUUUAGGGCUCGGGGUAGUAUUUGGGAUUUUGGUUGGAUUAAAUGCUUUAUAGAUGGAGAAAUUUAACUGCUCAAAAGAUGUGUAGAGAAGGUAUUACGCAAAUGGGGCUUGAAGACAUACGAUAGUGCACAGUAAUGUCAAAGAUGAAGAAUUUGCUAAGUUUAUACUUAGGCAUUGUUUGGCCCAUCCAAAGAGAAUGGACAGUGGUGUAGAAUGGUGAAGAAGAUAUGAUUUUAGAAUCUAAAAGGGUGUCAAGGAAAGAUGUGUGAGGUGAUUACUGUGGUAAUAUAGAAAGUAUGGUGUUCUUUUAGGUUUUGUAGACAAGCUUAGUUUGAGAAUUGAAAGGAAUAGCUAACUAGCUUUGUCGAAUAAUCAUGAAAUGAUAGUGUUGAAGCAUCUGUCGAUAAUUUAGUUCUCUACAAGGCGAGAAUUGAAAGGGAAGGUUUGUUGUGAGUUAUCAUGCUAUUUUGAUGCACUAUACCUAGUUUUUCCGGAAUUAGAUAUAUGUAGAGCCAUAUAUAUAGCAUUAUUGGUUUGCCAAGACAGUGGCUUACUAGAUAGCAACCAGAGGCUUAGUUUACUAGCUACUUGCAAUGAAAGCAGAAGGGACCUCCAACAGAACUUAAAGACUAAGUAGGUUAAGGUUCUAUGUGUUGUUUCUUAGUUGGGGCCCCAGAUCAAUCAAAUUGUCACUCCAAUGGUGCAAGCAAAGUGUAUAUACAGCAGUUGUCACUCUUCCGGGCUAAUUACUUUGACUCUAGAUAUCACAUUGUCACCUAAAUAGUUUGGGCCAAUCACAUUUCUUUGCAUCAUAUGCACUGCUAGUUUUAGUCGACUAAAGAAAAGCUCUGAAGCAACAUGGGUGCAUUAUUGUUACUCCAAUGGUGCAAGGAAAUUUUAUGUACAGCAACUAUCACUCUUCCGGACAAGUUUUUUUUUUUCUAUUCAUAGUAUUGUCAUCUAAUUAGGUUGGGUUCAAUCACCCUUUAACAUUAUAUGAUUGGACCCUGAGUUGUGAUAAACCUUAUUCCGAAGAAAACCCAUCAGAUGACUAUGCCCGAAGCUCCCUAGAAGGAAGGCUUAUUUUUUUAGGGAGAUAUUAAUGCAAGGAAAGCAAACAAAAAAGUUAGAAAGCUUAACUACAGACUAAGGGCAGAUUAUUUAAAAUUAACCUGGACACAUUGUUUUCUUGAAAAUUUGUAGUCUGUUACUGUUAAAUGCAUUUUGGUGAACAUUAUGUUGUUUUUAAUGAAUGUUUGAAGCAAGUGAUAAACUCUAGGUUACACUAAGGUAAGUGCGUAAAACUUUUGCUUUCUGGAUUUGAACAAGGAUUUACUCAGCAUCUGUCUACUCAUGUUUUUGCAGGUAUUUUUCCUUCAGGGAAGGUUUAUAUUUGGACCUGAUGUGAGAUCAUUGUUUCUCACCAUCUUCAUGAUUGUUGCGCCAGUUUUGGUUUUCUGUGUCUUUGUUGCCAGAAAACUGAUGGAUGAUUUUUCCCAUCAUCUGGGUAUAUCCAUAAUGGUGGUAGUAGUUGCAUUUACAGUAUAUGUGAGUAUCUCUUCUGAGUCUGUAUGAUCUCUUUAAUAAUUGUUCUACAUACAUUGCUUGCAACUUACUGCUAGCGAUUGAAUGUGCCACUACCUGAAACGUGCUUGGUUACUAUUUCUGUCAGAGCUUCUAGUUAUUUCUUCUCAAUAUGAAUGAAAAUAUGCUUAACAUUUCAAUAUCCAUGCAAUGGUCUCUUUUUUAAUCAUUCUCUUUCUCUCAGGAUUUGACUCUUCUUCUUCUCACCUCUGGGAGAGAUCCGGGCAUCAUACCACGCAAUUUACAUCCUCCAGAACCCGAAGUCUACGAGGGAAGCUCAGAAGUUGGAGGUAUUCAGACCCCACAGCUGCGUUUGCCUCGAAUGAGGGACGUCACUGUCAAUGGGAUCACCGUGAAGAUCAAGUACUGCGACACCUGCAUGCUUUAUCGGCCGCCUCGCUGCUCCCACUGCUCCAUCUGCAAUAACUGUGUCGAACGUUUUGAUCAUCACUGCCCAUGGGUUGGGCAAUGCAUAGGACUUGUAAGUUUCAUAAAUUAUGAGUUUAUAUAUUUGUUGAAUGUGAGUUCUGGAUGGAAACUAUCAGAGUCUUAAUGGAAUUUUGUAGUGUGCAGAGACUGAAAGAAUAAAGAAACCUGUGUAAACUAAACUACAUAUCAUGGCUAUUUGGCCUGACUUAUGCCAAAGCUCCAGCUGGGUCAAAUAGAUGCUUCUUGUUCUUGUUUUAUAUGCUGAGGCUUGAUAGUUUUAGACCUCAAAACUAGCUUGACCUGCCUGGCGCAGUUUAUUUUGCGUUGGGUCAGGGACAGCCCGAUUCACUGGCCAAGGUCAGCUCUCAAAAUUUUAGAAGUCCAUGUAAAUGCCUGGAUUUUAUAUUAUUUUGGUUGAUUUUCCUAUCCAGUAAAUUUUGGGCUCAGCCACCUGUUGUUGUGGUCAAUUCUUUUGUGUGCUUGCACAAAAGCUUGAGCUUGGUUUGUUCACUCGGAUGAGCCCAAGUAAUCUGUUAUGAAAUCAUCCAACCUGAUUAAGGAUUAAGCAACUGAUAUACAAAUUAUGAGGUCACGUUAACUAUCAAAGAUGUCAGACUUAAUUUAAAUUUCCAUAUAUAAGAGUUCUCAUCUGUGAUUUGAUAUUGUGCCACUGUAUGACAAGUGUUUUCAUCGUUUCUUUUCUUGAUGCAGCGGAAUUACCGAUUCUUCUAUAUGUUCGUAUUCUCGACGACACUCCUUUGCAUCUAUGUAUUUGCAUUCUGCUGGGUAUACAUUGUUAGGAUUAAAGAUGCUGAGCAGACAUCAAUCUGGCGAGCAAUGUCGAAGACUCCUGCUUCCAUAGUAUUGAUAAUUUACACUUUCAUCUCGGUGUGGUUUGUGGGGGGUUUAUCUGUCUUCCAUUUCUAUCUCAUGGCCACAAACCAGGUAUUGUUUGUUUUCAGUGAAACUUCUCUUUCGGAGUUCAUGUAUUGUCUGUUUGGCCUUCCUUUUAGGACAGCUUCUCUACUUCCAAAAGUCGUAGCCAAGCAUUUGGGAAACCUGAACUUCGGAGCAUUUUGCUUUGAUGGGAAACUGAAAUGAGCGUACAUAAAAAAUAGAAGCUAUGUUCCUGCUUCUGCAGUAUAACGAAGCCGUUGAGGGGAUUUUUCUGAUGAAAAAUCUGUUAGUUCUUCUAUUUGACAGCUCAUAGGAUGGGUCUUUGUAACCCCACAAUGCUAUUGUGGAUGGUUUCCUCUCAUACACACACAAACACACAAAGAAAAAAGAACAUUAGUGCCUCUUCAAACAGCUCUCAUCGAAAAGCGCUUUUACCGAAGCCGUCAGCUGGGGCGAAGCGUGGCCACACAAAUAUUUCAUAGAUUUCUCUAAUGAAUUUUUUUUCCUUUUUAGACGACUUAUGAGAAUUUCCGAUACCGUUACGACCGACGUGCCAAUCCUUACAAUAGAGGAGUCGUGGGGAACUUCAUGGAGAUCUUCUUUACGCGCAUCUCUCCCUCCAAGAACAAAUUCCGGGAUACAGUUCCACGGGAACAGGGAUUAUUAAAUCCGCGCUUGACUGGCGGCGGUUUCAUGAGUCCUAAUAUGGGUAGAGGUGUAGGGGACAUCGAAAUGGGCCGAAAGCCUGUUACAUGGGAUGAACCAAGAACAGCAGCCGACAUUGGCGAUUUAGAAGCUGGAUUGGGCAGCUUUCUUGAUGAGAAGGAUCGUGGCGCAAAUUGCGGGGUAAGCGAUGCAUCCCCUGAUUUAACGAGAGAGGCCCUUCAAUCCGAGGCCUUUGAAAAUCGCGCCGAAGUGCACGCGAGGCGUUCAAGCUGGGGCCGAAGGAGCGGGAGUUGGGAAGUAGGUCGUGAAGUAGCCCAGGAGUCAAAUCAGGUAGACGACGAAAGUGGUAGCGGUGGUGCGACUGAAGGGCAUCGGUGAAGUAACUCAAUUAGGGUUUCUUGUAUGUUCUUCAGUCUCCCCUGUGUGCAACUGGGGAGAUUCCAGUAAUUGUAUCACUAGAAAUUUCCAACCGACUUGUCGGUUUUCCUUUUCUCUAAGUUUGCUGCUUUCUACGGCAAUGUGGUGGCUGUUUCUAGAGUGGUUUUAGUUUGUGCUUCGGUGGAUUUGGUUUUAUGUGCUCUUUAACUUUGGUUUGGUUUGGUGGUUGUGUAUAUAUAUAUUAUCGGAGUGGUAAAUUUAGAAACAUGGGUGUGCUCUAGCCGUAAUGUUAUGCUUAGAAGUGUUUUUGACAUUUCUUCACAGUAGUAAAUCUCUUUAUUUAGUUUUGAGUUGGAAAUAUUGGUUAGUUGGAUUUGCAAAUGGUGGUGGUGGAUGUUUUUUAAAAAAAUUAACUUUUGAACAUUAAAUUACAGAUAUUCAAAGUAAAUUGUGAUGUUUUGUGAAUCAUUUCAUUUGAUUGGAGUUUGUAUGAAGAACUGAUGAUGACGCAUCAGAUUAUGUAACAUGUUGGAGCUCCCUCAUGUUGAGUUUGGCUUGUACACAACCAAUUUUCUUACCAAGUACAAACACGCUUGUAGUAAUAUAAGUACCAUUGAUAUUAUUAAGAGAACUAGAUCAGUAUUUCACUGAUUGGAUUCAACUAAAUAAAUUCGAUAUAUGGCUAUGUAAGGGAAGUGAUAAUAGCAUAUCCAUCUCACUGGGAAUAGAUCUGAUUCAUUCAGAUACGGAAUUAUAAUCAAAAUUUAAUAAAUUUAUCCGUCAACAUCAAAAUCAGCUAUGUAGCAAUCAAUAUCUCAACUGCACUACCCUCUAAACUAAAAGAUGCUAAAAAUAUAUAGAACUUAUCUGAACUAUGGCUCAUCUUGAGUCGACCAUAUUUAAUCUUUCAAAAAAUUUUAAUUUAUUUGAUUUGAAUCAGUCAAUAGCAUUUUGAUUUUAAAAUUUGAAUGCACCGUUACAAAUUUAGUUAGCCAUACUUUAUACAAUUCCCAUAGUUGUAAGUUCAUUACAUUAAGCAAUUAGUUUAAAUUUUGAUGCCAAAGUAUGACUGACUGACUCAAAUCAAAUAAAUAAAAAACUAUAAUAGUAAAAUUAAAAUUUUGAAAGAUUAAAAAGUCGGCUCAAAAUAGCAUAUAAUUCAGAUAAAUUUUGUAUGUUCAUACCAUAGAAGAUUUGGACAACAUGGGCACUUGAGCAAACCUCCAAAAUCAUAUCACAUGCACCUCACAGCAGCAGUAGACCUGCUGAACAAAGUACCUGGCAACCUCUAAACAUGAGGCCAAAACCCACUCUUUCACAUGUCCUUGUUCCAUUGGAGCUUCCCCCCUCUCUCUCUCUCUCUCUCUCUCUCUCUCUCUAGCUCUAUCUCUCUCUCAAGAUAUAGUUUUAUUGUUCUCACCCUUUUCUAACAACUGAGCCUCUCUAGCACUUAUAUCAUGGAUUCAACAACUCUCAUUGUUGCAUUUCUCUCACUCUGCACCACAAACUUUUUCUCAGCUGAAGCUCUUCCAAGGCCAAUCUCAAAUAUCACUGUUUUGGGCUCUGUUUACUGUGAUCCUUGCUCUAACAACACCUUCUCCAAGCACAGCUUCUUCCUGAAAGGUAAAAUUCUACUGAGUGCACAUUUAGCUUCAUUUUCCUAGUGCUUUUUCCCCCUCCCUUUUUGUUCUCAGGUUCUGUAUGCUUUUUUUUUUUUUUUUCUUUUUUACUUAAAUAUGCUAUUGUUUAUUUUCAGCAAAUUAUAUACUUAAGUGGCUUUGUUUAACAAUAAAAAAAAAAAUCAAAAUAGACUUGUAGUUUUCCUUUUUUUCCUUUUUUCUUUUUUCUCUUUGCUUUCUAAGUAAGUUUACAAACUAGCCAACAACAGUAAGAACAGAGUAGUCCAAUUCUUUUACUUUAAUGUCCAUCUAUAGUUCCUUCAACCACAUGCAAUUUAACGAAAAGUUUUUUAAAAAAUGUUUGGAAUUUGUAUAGUUUACUAUCCCGUGGUUCAAAGUAUAGCACUUUAUACACCCUAUAGUUUUUGUUUUCACUUUCGGUCUCCUAGUAUUAAACAGAAUAGCAAACUACGGAAUUUAUAGAUCGCAGAAUAAUAAAGCAUGAACAAUAAGAUGGUAAAGUUCUACAUUUUACCUCCAUGUAAUUAUAAAUUUGGUAAAAAUAUAUGGCUUACCUGAAGUAUGGACCAUUUUGAAUUUACUAUCCAACCUUUCAAAAAGUUAAUUAUACUCCUAAUAUUUCAAUUUGUUUGAUUUGAGUUAGGCAACAGUAUUUUGGCUUCAAACUUUAAGCUAAUUUUUUAUUUUAAUGAAUUCAUAAUUACAAGACUUGUAUGAAGUAUACUGAGAAAAAAAAAUAAACAGCGCAUUUAAAUUUUUGAAGUCAAAGUGCUAACUCAAAUUAGACAAUUAAAAGGUUGGAUGGAUAGUAAAAUUAAAAAUUGGAAAGGUUGGGUAGUUGAUUUGAAAUAGUCUACAGUUUCACGUAAGUUCUGUACCUUUCUACCUAUAAAUUUUAGCUCUUUACAGCUCUAAUUAGCGAGAAUUUUUUGCCGAAAACUAAAAUAGAAAUAAAAAGGAGAUCGAGUAAUGCAACUUUUUGAACCACGGGACGGUAAAUACUAAAUAUGUGCGUUACACAACCAAACAUUUUAAACAUCCACUGCAGGUGCCAGGGUGCAAAUACAAUGCAGGUUCAGAGUGAACUCCACAUCAAGAGAAGAGAUCCUGAUUGAAGCUGAGAGAACCACUGACAAGUUUGGGAUCUACAAGCUCGACAUCCCGCCGGUCGACGGAUUCGAAUGCCGCGAGGGCCGCGAGAUCAGGUCGGCGUGCCGCGCCAAUCUCAUAAGCUCUUCCUCCUCUUCAUGCAAUGUCCCUGGCCUACAAGGCUCAACUCAGCACUUGGCCAUCAAGCCAAAACAAGCCAACAUAUGCUUCUUCAACCUCAAUGCAUUGAACUAUAGGCCACCAAGGAGAAACACUAUACUUUGUGGGACUCAUAAUACUAUCAACUCUUCAUUGUUGUUUUGGCCUUUCCUACCACCAUUUUGGCCUCUUCCUUUUUCUAUCCCCCAAUGGCUUACUCCUUUCCUGAAGCUAUCAAGUUUCCCCUCCCCACCUUCAAAAUCUUAACUAGUUGAUUAGCUCAAAUUUCUUGGCUUUUUGCAUUUUUGAGUAACUUCAGUGUGUGUAUGCACAAGCAUAUGAACCUAUGUUGGGACAAUUUAGUCACACUCUUAGAAUUGUGUUUAUUGGAUUAUUAUUCAGAACUAUUAUUGGUUUUUAUUUCCAAGCUAUAUAUCACGGACACUUUUAUAAGCUGCGCGUGUCCGUGUCGGACACGCUCCGUGUCCGAUGUGGACACUAUUUGAACGUGCGUUCGAUACUGAUCCAUAGCGCAUACAAUUAAAAUAUAUAUAUAUAUUUUUUUAUUUUAUUUUUAUGCAUAUAUAAUUGUAAGAUGAUUAAUAUUUUAGCUUUUUAAUAAAUAGAUAUAAUUUUUUUUAAACAAUAUUAGAUAAAAUAUGUAUAAUAGAAAAUUUUUUUUCUUAAAUAUAUGAACUAUUAAUAAAACUUUUACUAAAUUUCAUUCGUAUGAGAAAUAUAAUAAUAUUUUAUCAAAAUUAUUAUUUUAUAUACAUACAAUAAAUAUUUAUUAUUAUAUUAAUAGAUUAUAUUUAAGUCGUGGCGUAUCCUGUAUCCCGCGUCGCAUAGUUUGCAAGGAAGGAGGGUUAAUGAUUAGGUUUGGACACGACAGAAGGUUUGCAAUAGCUGCUUAUGUUGGCCUGUCAGUGUCAGAGUUUGACAAUUUACAUAACACAUCGAUUUGAUGCACUUAAAAGAAUCGGACUUAUGUUGAAUGAUUAGCGCUAACUAUUUAUUUCCAAAAUUUAAAUUAUUAAAAAUAUAUAAUUAAUUCACUUUAGUAUACAGAUAUAAUACUCACGAAUUUUUAUUGUGCCUCAGCCAAACCAUCCAUAUGCAAUGCAACUUGGCCCGUGACAACAAAAUACUAUAGUAUGACAUAGAGUAAAAAGUUAUAAACUUUAGACAAUUUUCUUAUAAAUCACACAAUAUUUUUUUUUUAUUUCUAAUUGCUUAUAAACAAUCUCUUCAUUUAAGUAGUAUUUGUCGGAUUAAACUUUUGAUUUUACGAUACUGAUCAUCAAGAAUUAGGUAAGGUGCAUGAGACAUACUGAUUCACUGGGUUCGAUAGCAACUCCAAUCCCGAACCCACGUGUCCAAUAUUGAGUGGACCAUGCGGCGGACUUCCUGUAAGGGACCGUUUGGUUAGAUGUAAUUAUAAAUGUAGUGUAGUUAGAGAUACAUACAAUUGAAAAUACAGUAGUUACAACUACAUGAAUCAUGUUUGAUUGGAUAUAGUAGAAAGCGCUGCAAGUAUAAAUAAUUUGUUUGGUUGCAUCCAGUUGAAAAAUAAUUUUUAAAAUUUUACUAUUUUAUAUAUAUGUGAUGGUAAGAUUACCUCCAAUGUAAAAAAAAAUAAUAAUUUUUGUUUAAAAAAUAUUAAGGAGGUAAGCAUAUCAUUUAUUUAAAGUUGCUCUUUCCAACUGCUGUAGUUGGAACUGCGGUCAAUUUGGGCGUAGUUCGAACUGUUGCAGUUGGGCCUCCUCCUGCAGUUCCUACUGCAGCAGCAGCAGUUGGAGUUAAAUACAUCAAACCAAAGAGAUCGAAAAAGCAAUAGCAGCAUUUCACGCCAUUUCGCUUGACCCAACAAAACCUACAGAUCUCCUAGAUUUCCAAGUAGUUUUUAACUAAUCAAAUGAGAGAUACAAAAACUACCAACUAACCUCGAAACCAAGAACAGGCUCCUCCAAAUCCUCAUCCUCUGACACGCCUGCGACAUCAUUUACACCCACAAUAUAUAAUCAGAGAAGACGAAUGAAACAAAGAAAUGAGCACCAAGAGAUAUCCCAUAACAAGCAUUUCUCAUAGAAACGAGGUAAUAAACUCAUUAUGACCAACCAUCAUUGACAUCAAGAGGAACCUUAAUAAUUAAACCUUAAUUAUAAAGGAGAAUCUUAUGAACUCCGAAUCAAGUUUGGAAGAAAGCAUUAAUAAUUAAACCUUAAUUAUAAAGGAAAAUAUAUAAUGGUUUACAUAUUCUUCAGGGGGGAAAACUUACAGGAAUCUAUUUCAUCGAUCAGUGUCUUCUUCCCUAAAAGUUUCUUCCUCUCUCUCAUUGGUUUUGGAUUUAAUAGAGCUUCUCGCAACAUUUUUCCUCUGCCUCUUUGACCCUCUUCCCAUAUUUCACAGUGCUCGCGGAGCGCAAUCAGAAUCAGUUUGAUUGUAGCUCUCUGCUUGAGUGUAAGAAACAAAGAAACCGAUCAAAAUCAAGUACAGCAACCAAACAAGAUAGUUGCUAAGAGAGAAAGAAAGAAAGGGAAAGGGAGACAACAAAACGAGGAUUUUGAAUCAGUGGGCAUCACUGGAUCAAUCUAUGUAUAUGUGUGUGUGUUGCGACUUUCGAAUCGUCGAUCGACUUCGUUAAACUUGAUCUAGAGUAUUUGAAGUAGCUAGAAAAUAAAUUUUAUGAUUUUUCGAUAUCAUUUGCCUAGUGAACGAAGGGGCUUAUAUAUAUAUAUAUAUAUAUAUAUAUAUAUAUAUAGAACUAGGCCAUAGUUAGUUAAUUCGGAUUCGGCAAAAAUUCGGUUCGGAUAAAAUUCGGAUAAAAUUCGACUUCUAAUUUUUAAAUUCAUUGAAAAAUGCAGCUAAAAAACGGAUUCGCCAAUUAUUCAGAUACGUGAAUUAUACGGAUACUAUACAUUCACCAAUUAAAAAUUCGGGAUAAAAAAUUCAGCUAUUAAAUUAAAUAUUUUUCUCUCAAGAUUUAUGCGAUUAGCAUAAAUACUCAUAAUUCUUAAGAAUAAUAUAAGAAUAAAGAGCGACAAAAUUAAGCUAAUUAAGUAUAAAAAAAGCAAUGCAUGUGCUUGUGACUUUCAAACCUUACUCACAAACUGCGAGGCAUAUCUGUUGGGAAUCCGGUACUCGCCUCGGUACCGGAUCUCGUGAAUCUACAACCCGCUCCGAUACCGACUGCUGUGGAUUCGGUACCAAUCAUUGGGAUUCCGCAACGGAAGCGUCAAAUCGAGUUUUUACCAUAAACCAGUCUCCUCAGCAGAAACUGAUACAAUCAUAAAAGAGAGAAAAAACCAAAAUAGAAAAUAUGCAGGUAAAAUAAGAUUCAUUAAAUAAGAGAAGAUUACACCUGACUUCUCUUCUGCAACAAAGUAGCUACAACCCGAGCCCUCUUUCUGAAUCUCUUCUACCUUUCUCUCGUCUUUUAUAAUCCCAUAAAGAAGACAAUCAUCCACGUGCACCCGUGCACUAGGUGCACUAAAUAAUCUCUCUUUUUCUCUCUCUGGUACGGCACCCAAGAGUUCUUUUUCUCUCUCCCGUACUCCACACAAAAAAAAACACCAUCAAGAGCUAUUUAUAAAGCUCCAUCAAAACGUACUCCAAUCCUAGUAUAAAUAGGAUUUCUACUCCAAUAAAUAUUUAAAUCUUAAUUGAUUCAUCUCCAAUAGAUUUAAAUAUUUAUUUUAAUCUAAUUAGAUUUAUACUCUAAUUAAUAUUUAAAUCUUAAUUUAUCUCCAACAGAUUUAAAUAUUAAUUCUAAUCCAAAUAGGGUUUAAUUACAAAUCUAACUAAAACCUAACAAUCUCCACCUUAGUUGGAUUUAUAAUCUCAACCGCUACGUCGAGCUCACCAUACAAGCUCCAUCUUGAGCUUGUCUCCUUCGCUCGAUGUCGUCGCAUCCGUCGCUUCGCCUCGAGCGACUACUCCUCCGCGAACUUUUGGAAUCCAAAUCGUCUUCGCUCCCGUUCUGACUGUGCUCCCGUUCAGAACGUACAAGUUCCCACGCUUGCUCACCUCGUACAAGACCCGAUCUCGUUUUCGAACCCUCAUAACUCCACCUGAAGCUGAAAUAUCGCAGCCAUUCGAGUCCAACGCGCCUAACGAGAUCAAAUUUCGCUUCAAUCUAGAAACGUGCCGCACACCUGUCAGCGUCCUCACGACCCCAUCGUGCAUUCGGAUCUUCACCGUGCCGACUCCUAAAACUUUACACGCCGUCCUGUUACCCAUUAGAGCCUUUCCACCCUUGAUCGCCUAAUAGGUGGCAAAAGACUCCUUCUCCAGGCAUACGUGAAAAGAACACGCCGAAUAGAGCACCCACGCGCCAUCCGAAAUUUUCUCACCUCCGGUCGCCGCGUACAGCACUUCAGAAUCGAUCAUCUCCGAUUCCGCCGUCUGCACCGUCACUGAUAUCGUCUCUUCCUGGUUCACGACAGUUUUCUCUUUCUGUCGUUUUAACUCCUUCAGAUCAUCCUGAAGUUUCCGACAGUUGCGCUUGAUAUGCCCUUUCCUGUGACAGUAAAAGCACUUUACCUCAGAUAACGGCUUCUUCUGUCGAUCUCCGGUCGCUGAUGUUGUUGCCUCCUUCUUCGUAGUCACCACCAGUCCUACUUCCUGACUUUGCGUGUCGGCCUCCUGAGUCAUCUUCCGCAUCUCGUUCGAGAGAAGCGCCGCCGUGACCGGCUCCACGCUUAUGGUCUCCUUGCCAUAAAGCAACGUGGUCACCAGAUGCUCAUAUGUUGCCGGUAGCAAAGAUAGUAAAAUCAGCGCCUUAUCUUCGUCAUCCAGAUUGACUCCGAUACUAGUCAACUGGUCUACCACCUUGUUGAACUCGUUCAAAUGCUCGUGUAGGCUCGCCGCUUCCUUCAUCCGCAGCGUAAACAGUCGCUGCUUCAGAUACAACCUGUUCGUCAGGAAUUUGGUUAUGUACAGAUCUUCUAAUUUCUUCCACAAUUUCGCCGGUGUCAUCUCGCUGACUACGUUAUAAAGACCUCAUCUGGUAAUAAUAGAUGAAGGGUACUCCGCACCUUCCGCUCCAUCUUCAUCCAUGCCGCAUCCGUGACCUCCGCCGGCUUCGCCUCCUUCCCGUUCAACGUCUCGUCCAAUUCUUGCUGUACGAAGAUUGCCCGUACUUUAAUCUGCCAUAAUCCGAAAUUGUUCUUGCCGUCAAACUUCUCGAUUUCGAAUUUUGUGGCCAUCUCCGUCGAUCUCACCCGCAGAUCGGUAACCUUCGGCUCUGAUACCACUUGUUGGGAAUCCGGUACUCGCCCCGGUAUCGGAUCUCGUGAAUCCGCAACCCGCUCCGAUACCGACUGCUGUGGAUUCGAUAUCGAUUGUUGGGAUUCUGCAACGGAAGCGUCAAAUCGAGUUUUUACCAUAAACCCGUCUCCUCAGCAGAAACUGAUACAAUCAUAAAAGAGAGAAAAAACCAAAACAGAAAAUAUGCAGGUAAAAUAAGAUUCAUUAAAUAAGAGAAUAUUACACCUAACUCCUCUUCUGCAAUAGAGUAGUUACAACCCGAGCCCUCUUUCUGAAUCUCUUCUACCUUUCUCUCAUCUUUUAUAAUCACAUAAAGAAGACAAUCAUCCAUGUGCACCCGUGCACUAGGUGCACUAAAUAAUCUCUCUUUUUCUCUCUGUGGUACAACACCCAAGAGUUCUUUUUCUCUCUCUCGGUACUCUACACAAAAAAAAAACACCAUCAAGAGCUCCAUCAAAACGUACCCCAAUCAUAGUAUAAUUAGGAUUUCUACUCCAAUAAAUAUUUAAAUCUUAAUUGAUUCACUCUAAUAGAUUUAAAUAUUUAUUCUAAUAUAAUUAGAUUUAUAUUUUAAUUAAUAUUUAAAUCUUAAUUUAUCUCCAACAGAUUUAAAUAUUAAUUCUAAUCCAAAUAGAAUUUAAUUACAAAUCUAACCAAAUCCUAACAAAUCUAACCAAAUCCUUGAUGCGGCUUUGAGAUGUAGAUAAACACUGCAUAAUUAGUUGGUGUUAGUUGUAUUUUAUUAUCAAUGUUUUUAAUUUUUACAAGUGGGUAGCUUAAAAUAAUA